UAAAUUUUUGAAUUUAMCUUUUGAGUCAAAAGGCUUAAAUUCUUCUUUAGGACGAGAAGACCCUAUAGAGCUUGACAUUUUACUUUUAUAUAGUUUUUUGUUUGUCUUUCUAUAUUUAAUGAUGAUGUUUUGUUGGGGUGACAUGAAGAAUAGAUAAACUCUUCAUUAUUAUAUCCUUUAUUUAUGUUUGUUAUUUCGAUCCCUAMUUUAUGAUCAUAAGAUUAAGUUACC
rnacentral:rRNA from 1 species